rnacentral:rRNA from 1 species
AUUGAACGCUGGCGGCAGGCCUAACACAUGCAAGUCGAGCGGAUGAAGGGAGCUUGCUCCUGGAUUCAGCGGCGGACGGGUGAGUAAUGCCUAGGAAUCUGCCUGGUAGCGGUGGAUAACGUCCGGAAACGGGCGCUAAUACCGCAUACGCCCUGAGGGAGAAAGUGUGGGAUCUUGGGACCUCACGCUAUCAGAUGAGCCUAGGUCGGAUUAGCUAGUUGGUGGGGUAAAGGCCUACCAAGGCGACGAUCCGUAACUGGUCUGAGAGGAUGAUCAGUCACACUGGAACUGAGACACGGUCCAGACUCCUACGGGAGGCAGCAGUGGGGAAUAUUGGACAAUGGGCGAAAGCCUGAUCCAGCCAUGCCGCGUGUGUGAAGAAGGUCUUCGGAUUGUAAAGCACUUUAAGUGGGGAAGAAGGGCAGUAAGUUAAUACCUUGCUGUUUUGACGUUACCAACAGAAUAAGCACCGGCUAACUUCGUG